CGAAAACUAAAUUCAGUAGUAGACCCGAAACCUCCUUAACAAGUUAAUCUUGAAAGAACAAUUCAACUACAAAAAAAAAAAAUCAACAAUGUUGUUCGUCAAACAAGCAGUUACAAUCUUCCUUGUUGUACUAGUUGCUGCACAGAUGGCAUACGGCUGCCCCAACAAUAAUCUUAACAAUGGCAAACGCAAGUAAAUCAAAAGCGAACGAUAUCAUCAUCCUCUAUAAGAAGCUUUAAAAAAUAUACCAUAAUAAGAUAUUUGUAUUUCAUAUUAGAUUCUUAUAAUUUGUAAUAAAAAUAAGUUGAAGUUUGGUCACUAUCUAUAAACUUAAUAAAUAAAUAAUUUUAUUUUUAAUAUUUCAAAGAA